UGUUCCCUGUCUGUUUGUGUUUUGCAGAGCAAACGGGACCAUCUGCUGAUGAAUGUGAAGUGGUACUACCGCCAGUCUGAGGUGCCCGACUCGGUCUACCAGCACCUGGUGCAGGACCGCAACAACGAGAACGACUCUGGUCGGGAACUGGUCAUCACUGACCCCGUUGUCAAGAGCAGAGAGCUCUUCAUCUCAGACUAUGUGGACACGUACCAUGCUGCUGCCCUCAGGGGAAAGUGUAACAUCACCCACUUCUCCGACAUAUUCGCCGCCAGGGAGUUCAAAGCCCGCAUCGACUCCUUCUUCUAUAUCUUGGGAUACAACCCAGAGACAAGGCGGCUAAACAGCACACAAGGGGAGAUCCGAGUGGGUCCCAGCCACCAGGCCAAGCUCCCAGACCUGCAGCCCUUUCCCUCUCCUGGCGGCCAGUCCGUGACUGAGAAAGAGGAGUUGGUGUGGAUGCCGGGGGUCAACGACUGUGAUCUGCUCAUGUACCUUAGGGCAGCCAGGAGCAUGGCAGCGUUUGCGGGGAUGUGUGACGGAGGUUCCACAGAGGAUGGCUGCCUAGCUGCUUCCAGAGACGACACCACACUCAAUGCGCUAAACACUCUGCACGAGAGUAGUUACGACGCUGGGAAGGCCCUGCAGCGGCUGGUCAAGAAGCCUGUGCCCAAACUCAUCGAGAAGUGUUGGUCAGAGGACGAAGUGAAACGGUUCAUUAAAGGACUGAGACAGUACGGCAAAAACUUCUUCAGGAUUCGGAAAGACCUACUUCCCAACAAGGAAACGGGCGAACUGAUCACGUUCUACUACUACUGGAAGAAGACGCCCGAGGCGGCCAGCUCACGAGCCCACCGCCGCCACCGAAGACAGCCCGUCUUCCGCCGCAUCAAGACCCGGACCGCCUCCACGCCCGUCAACACUCCCUCACGCCCCCCCUCCAGCGAGUUUCUGGACCUGAGCUCAGCCAGUGAGGAUGACUUUGACAGCGAGGACAGCGAACAGGAGCUGAAGGGCUACGCCUGCCGCCACUGUUUCUCCACCACUUCUAAAGACUGGCACCACGGAGGCCGGGAGAACAUCUUACUGUGCACCGACUGCCGGAUCCACUUCAAGAAGUACGGCGAGCUACCACCCAUCGAAAAGCCCGUGGACCCGCCUCCGUUCAUGUUCAAACCCGUCAAAGAGGAAGAGGAUGGGCUCAGCGGCAAGCAUAGCAUGAGGACCCGACGCAACCGAGGCUCGAUGUCGACGCUACGAAGUGGCCGUAAGAAGCAGACAGCCAGCCCCGAUGGCAGAGCCUCCCCCACCACCGAGGACCUGCGCUCCAGCGGACGCACCUCACCCAGCGCAGCGAGCACGUCCAGCACAGACAGCAAGACCGACUCCAUGAAGAAACCCACCAAGAAAAUCAAGGAGGAAGCUCCAUCGCCCAUGAAGAGUGCCAAACGUCAGCGGGAGAAGGGCACCUCGGACACGGAGGAGUCGGAGAGGGCGAGCGCCAAGAAGUCGAAGACUCAGGAGCUAAGUCGACCGGACUCGCCAUCGGAGUUCGAGGGAGAGGGUGAGGGCGAGAGCUCAGACGGACGCAGUGUGAACGACGAGGGCAGCAGUGACCCCAAGGACAUCGACCAGGACAACCGCAGCUCCUCGCCUAGCAUCCCCAGCCCGCGCGACAACGAGAGCGACUCGGACUCGUCGGCCCAGCAGCACCUGCAGGCCCAGCACCCGCCCGUCAUCCAGUGCCAGCCGGGCGCCAUGCCCUCCGCCGCCCCCAACCCCCAAUCAUCCGCCUCCGCCUUGUCAUCGUCCUCUUCUUCGUCUUCAUCCGCGACAGCGACGGUCACUCCAAACCCCCCGACGUCAGUCGCGCCCCCAGCCUUACCUCCGCAGGUGUCCCCUGCCGGGCCUCCGGUGCCCAUGCCCCCUCAGCCCCCCAUGCCCCCCACGACGGGCCCACUCUCGCUCAUCCAGUCGGCCGGCGCACCCUCACUCCACCCGCAGCGGCUGCCCUCGCCUCACUCGCCGCUGCCCCAGAGUCUGCCUCAGGCGCCCGCGUCCUCUCAGACUGCCUCUCAGGCGCUGGCGCCACCCUUGCCCCCUCCGCCGCCACCUCACCACGGCCCGCUGCCCCCCAUGGCCCACCUGCAGGGCGGGCCGCCUCACCUGCCCCCGCACGGGCACCCAGCACACGGCAUGCCCCCCCAGCCCUUCCCGCACUCGCAAGCUCAGGUGCCCCCCUCAGGCUCCCACCCAGGACAGCCUCAACCCUCCGCAUUGUCCCAGCGAGAGAGGGAACGGGAACGGGAACGAGAGAGGGACCGAGAACGGGAGAGGGAGAGAGACCGGGAUCGGGAUCAGCAGCCGCCUUCCCACAUGCCCCCGACGUCCCAGCCGUCGUCGCAGGGAGCCCCCCAGCCGCCCCGCGAGCAGCCGCUGCCCCCGGCGUCCAUCUCUAUGCCCCACAUCAAGCCGCCCCCCACCACGCCCAUCCCGCAGAUGCCCAGCGCACCUUCCUCGCACAAGCACGCGCCGCACCUGGCCGCGCCGCCACCCUUCCCCCAGAUGCCCUCAAACCUGCCGCCGCCGCCGGCGCUCAAGCCCCUCAGCUCGCUGUCCACCCACCACCCGCCCUCGGCGCACCCGCCCCCGCUGCAGCUCAUGCCCCAGAGCCAGCAGCUGCAGCCGCCGCCCGCCCAGCCCCCCGUGCUCACGCAGUCCCAGAGCCUGCCCGCCUCAACUGGGCACGGGCCUCCGCAACCUCCCCCUCUCCCUCCGUCCGCAGCAGCCGCUGCUGCCGCUGCCGCUGCCGCCGCCGCCGCCUCGCACGGGCUGCCCUCCCAGCCGCCCUUCCCGCCUCACCCCUUCAUCCCCGGGGGCUCGGCCGUGCUGCCCCCUUCUUCGGUGGUGCCGCCGCCCUCCUCCGCUGCCUCUAUGCCCGGUCUGCCGCCUGUGGCCUCGUCCAUCUCCAUGCCGUUGCCUGCCUCGGUCAGCGCCAGCUUGCCGGGGCCCUCCUCUGUGGCGAUGCCCGCCAUUCAGAUCAAGGAGGAGCCGCUGGAUGAGGCCGAGGAGCCCGAGAGCCCGCCGCCUCCUCAGAGGAGCCCCUCGCCUGAACCCACCAUCGUCAACACUCCCAGCCACGCCAGCCAGUCCGCAAGGUUCUACAAACAUUUGGAUCGGGGCUACAACACCUGCGCCAGGACCGACUUCUACUUCACUCCGCUGGCCUCGUCCAAGCUGGCGAAGAAACGCGAGGAGGCCCUGGAGAAGGCCAAGAGGGAGGCUGAGCAGAAGGCUCGCGAAGAGAAGGAGAAAGAGCGGGAGCGGGAGAAGGAGCGAGAGAGGGAGCGCGAGCGAGAGAAGGAGGCCGAGAGAGCUGCGAAAGCCUCCAGCUCCUCUCACGAAGGCCGGAUGAGCGAGCCGCCGAUGCCCGGUCCCGCCCACAUGCGCCCGUCCUUCGACGGCCCGCCGACCACCAUCGCGGCCGUGCCGCCCUACAUCGGGCCCGACACGCCGGCGCUGCGCACGCUGAGCGAGUACGCGCGGCCGCACGUCAUGUCGCCCACCAACCGCAACCACCCGUUCUUCAUGUCGCUCAACCCCAGCGACCCGCUGCUGGCCUACCACAUGCCGGGCCUGUACAACGCCGACCCGGGGCUGCGCGAGCGCGAGCUGAGGGAGCGGGAGAUGCGCGAGCGCGAGAUCCGCGAGCGGGAGAUGCGCGAGCGCAUGAAGCCCGGCUUCGAGGUCAAGCCGCCCGAGCUGGAGGGCCUGCACCCGUCGGCCAACCCCAUGGAGCACUUUGCGCGCCACGGCGCCGCCAUCUCGCUGCCGCACAUGGCCGGACCGCACCCCUUCGCCUCCUUCCACCCGGGCCUGAACCCGCUGGAGCGCGAGCGGUUGGCGCUGGCCGGCGCCGGCCCGCAGCUGCGGCCCGACAUGACCUACCCGGAGCGGCUGGCGGCUGAGCGGCUGGCGGCCGAGCGCAUGGCCUCAGUGGCCGCCAACGACCCCAUUGCCCGGCUGCAGAUGUUCAACGUCACGCCGCACCACCAUCAGCAUUCGCACAUCCACUCGCACCUUCACCUGCACCAGCAGGAUCCGCUCCACCAAGGUGAGGGCAACUCUCCGACCGCCAGCCCCCGCCCACCCCCACGCAUGGCAUCAUCGCCCAGACACGCCAACCGCUCCGCUCAAGCAAUUUUAUGUGGUGGUGGUGAAUGUCUUGUGUGUCCCCCAGGUUCGGGGGCCCACCCGCUGGUCGACCCGCUCGCCGCCGGACCUCACCUGGCGCGCUUCCCCUACCCGCCCGGAGCCAUCCCCAACGCCCUGCUGGGACAGCCUCCCCACGAGCACGAGAUGCUGCGACAUCCUGUGUUUGUGCGACACGGCUCUGCCCUGUGUAUCCCUCCAGGCACACCAUACCCUGCCCGUGACCUGCCAGGAGGUCUGCCUCCACACAUGUCGGCAGCGCACCAGCUUCAGGCCAUGCACGCACAGUCGGCAGAGCUCCAGAGGCUAGCCAUGGAGCAGCAGUGGCUGCACGGACAUCCACACAUGCAUGGGGGCCCGCUGCCUGGCCAGGAGGACUACUACAGGUCAAUAGAGGGGAGGGGAUUUAGGUAACACGGAAUCGGGGUUGCCAGGGUGAACGUCAGGAUGAGAACAUUAAGCAGUAAGCCCCAGGAGGCUGUAGGUUCCAGUGAUUUUUUUAACAACUAAGGUGCAUUGUAUUAGGCUGUUCUAACAUCACUGGAACCUACUGCCUAGCGGGGCUUUCACUGCAACCAAUCAUAAUCAAGGACCGGAACUACCCAUUUUAGAAUCACCCAUUAGUAAAGGAAAAGAUGACAAGUCUAGAGGUAGCCAUACAUUUCUGAGCCGGUUGAAGAAAGAAAGUGAUAAGCAGCUGUAACCAACUGAGGGAGAUGCGAGGAGACGAGGUCGGCAGGACGUUGACACAGGAAGUUGUAACCGAACGCAGUCACGGAGAGGAACUCUACGGUGUCCUUGGACCGUUUUUUUUAUCCUAUUUUAAGACAAAGAAAGAAAAAAAAAAGGAAAAGUACAGACACCAGUUUCCUUUGCUGUUAUGGACGUUUAUUUUUUUGUUGGUUUUUUUUUUCCCGUUUGGAAAAAGGAACUGAGACUUUGGUAUAUAGCGUUCAAGUAGUAACAACGUCCUCAAGACUGAUUGUGACUUCCCUGCAUGGCAUCCAACUCCGAGAAGCUUCCCUGACCUGUUUAUUUUGUAGGUGCUAGAGAACAAGACACUUUUGUCACUGUGCUUAUGGAGAACGAGAGGAAAAAAAGACACAAACAAGGAAAACUGAUGGGCCAUUAUAUCUGAAAAAGUGCUAUCUUAAAUUCAAUGUUUAUUUUAAUACAUUGUAGAACGUUUUCACAAUUUUAAGAGGAAAAAAAGCUGCAGCAUGGCAUUUUUUUCUGAGUCUGUAAAUAGUAUAUAUACAUAUAAUAAUUAUUAUUAUUAUUAUUAUUAUUAUUAUUAGGUGUGGAUUCCUAACCAAGUUGUUAGACCCUUCCAGUAUAAUAGUUCUGAAGCAUUAUCCCUUGUUUCAGAGGGGAGCGCGAUGGCUCUGUUUGAGUUACCUAAUGGUCAUAAGAGACAGGUAUGGUCCAUAAAAAAGUUUGCUGGUACAGCAGUACCUCACAUGGAUCCACCAAUAUGUUUCACAUUCAGUCUGUCAUCGCUUUUUGAGAGCCAGCCGCAAAACAAGAAUGAAACAAACAUGGAGGGAAACAAAACACUUCAUUAUCAUCAACACAAGCAGGACAGCUUUCCCCUGCUCCCUUUUAAUGUUGGAACUCAACAGGUAUUGACUUGAAGAUUUGAGACACACGAAGAGGAGGGGGAUGACCUGUGUCUUAAUUUGGACAGGAGAGAACCCAAACACAAGACAUGAGCACAUAAACUCCCAUUACUCUCAAAAAAAAAAAAAAACUUGAAAAUUGCACUAAAUUUUUAAGCACUCACUUUGACAUUUUCACAUCUAAUUGACACUGUUGCAAAUCAGAGAAAGUAAUGUGGAUACAUCAUUUUUAAAAAUGUAAAUCCAUUCCAUAUUAUAAUUGCAAUUCCUUUUUAACUUGUAAAAUAAACAAUAUCAGUACCUUGCACAAAUAUGCAGUAGCGCUACAGUGGCCCUACUGGAAUCUCGACUUCAGUUCUUUGAGGAGUGGUUUUUAACGCUUCAGUUUUAAGACUUGAGUGGUGCUUAAUUUGAACAGUAAAGUACUCUGUCCUUGCAUACAUAUCCCACAAUGCUCCCCUCCCCCUGCAUAAAAAAAACAAACCCAGGGCUCCUCCCUCACUUAACCUCCAGCUUCACUGUAACAACUCAAGGUACCAUACUCACUGUGAUGCCACCAAGGCAAGUUCCUGAAGGUUAAGUGCUUGGACCUGAGUAUGUGUCUGUUUUGAGAGAGAAGAUGGCAAGUGAGAAUAGUGCAUGUGUUUACAAGAGAGGAGAAAUACAUGCUCCCAGUCCAGGUCCUGUCUGCAUUCCUUUACAACAACUACUGUCACAACUAGCCUGCCCUAUAUACCUCCUCACAGUCAUGGCUGGGUUGGUAAAAAGGUGGGGGUGGAUUGUGUACUCACCUCUGUUUGACUGUUACAUGCAGUAUUUUACACAGUCAUUUUUACCACGUCACCUCAAGUUCAUUCUGUUGUCCACCAUUGACAUCAUCCUCAGAUAUAUCUAUAUGCAUCUUGCACUUAAAAUCAAACCUCUGAGAUCUCUGAACUGGUCUAAACACUCACAUGGGGCUCCACAGCCUCAGUUGACGGCAGCGGGUAGUAUUUUGAAGGCAUGCUUUUCAGAGUGACACCAGCCGAGUUUAAUUUUGAAAUGUGCAGCUUUUUUGACCUAUUUUUCCCCUGGAUGUGGGUCUAAAUCCACACUGGGCUUUUUAUGAAAAUGAAAAACUCUAGCCAUUGACCUGUCUCUGUCUGUGUGGUGUACUGAGCAUUUGAUUUCUCUCUCUCUCUCUCUGCUUUAUUUUUACCAGAAGUCUCCCUGCCCCUCUGUUCCUCUUUUGUGUCUCAAACCUUUGAUGUUAAGUGUUGUCAACGGUUUAGCUUCUCGUUUUAAAAGCGGCAAUAGCAGAAUGUAAAUUCUGACUGCUAAGAUUUAUAUAUAUACUGGUAUCUUGAAGCUUAUUGUACAUAUUAGUAGUCGCCAUGGGAUGACACAAUGUAAACAAAAAGUAGAAAUAAUUAAGACAAAUUGUGAGUCCUGUGUUCUCUCCAUUUGAGUAUUUUGUAAUUUUUUUGAAAAAUUUGUGGAAUUAAAAUAAAAACUAAGUUACACCACA